GUGCUCACUUUGGCAGCACAUACACUAACACUGGAACGCUACAGAGAGAUUAGCAUGGUCUCUGUGCAAGGAUGACAUGCAAAGUUGUGAAGUGUUCCAUAUUUUU
ensembl:snRNA U6 U6 spliceosomal RNA